rnacentral:lncRNA from 1 species
UCCACAGACGCUGGCAGUAGCUCGGAGGGCAGCUCUUGCACGUGCAGGCUUUGCAUCUGUGCGGGCUUCCCAGCCUGCAGCCCCUGCACUGAACCCGCUCAGCUGUGGCCUCGGUGGCUCCUGGAGUCACCCGUAUCCGCACCCCAUCCCGGCGGUGCAGCCACACAUCGGCAGAGGAAAACAGGAGCUGUAACUUCACACAUGAGUCGGGUUCCCUCUUUGAAUAGACCCACCAGCUGUCUGAGUCAUUUAAAAGGCUUCUGCAUGCUGAAGAAACACUGGUGAAGGCGUGAUCCAGCCCAGCUGCGCAUUCAAAUAUGAAGUUAUUCUGGAUAAUCCCAUUUUUCCUGCUGCAAGACACCGAAACUUUCCUGAUGAAAAAUGCCAAAGCCAAGCUGUGUCUACAAGCCAGCCCGACGGAUGGGAAUUUACUGCUGGCGGGCUGUGACCCAAGCUCGGAUUUCCAAGACUGGUCUUGGCAGGGCGAUUCGCUGGUGAAUCUCGGCACGCUGGCGUGCCUCUCCGUGGGGGAGGACAGCGGAGUGCGGACCAGUGCCUGCGACAGCGCGGGCCGCACGCGCUGGGACUGCUCCAGCUGGCUGCUCUCGCCGCUGGGCAGCAGCCAGGGCUACCUGGCAGCAACCAGGAGGGGAGUCAGCCUCGCCGCUGCGAGAGGCCCCAAGGCGCAGUGGCAAGGGGCCGCGGAGAGGAGCGUGUGUGCGGAGAAGGCAGCCAAGGCAGAGCACAGCAGGUACCUGCCCGCAGCCCUCGCCAGCACGCGCACGUACGGGCCCACGGCAGGCAACGCUGCCCUUGCGCUGGGUUUGGCUCCGGCGCAGCUGGAGGAGCUGCUGUGGUUCUUCCGCAGAGAAGACCCGUCGGCGUGGAAUUACGCUCUCCUCGCCCUUUCCCUCGUGGUCCUGCUCCUGGGUCUCUUCCUCCUGGCCGUGAACAUCGCGCGGAACAGGUGAGGCUGGA